UAUCAUAAACGCUCCAAACAUGUAGAGUGAAAAGCAAUUGGCCGCCUUCACAUCAUCAUCUAAAGCCCACUGCAGUGAGAACUUAACAUUUGUUACGGUCCUGAAAAUAUAAACCAUGGGAAAUUGUUAACCCUGUCAGGGCCGGAUCCAAAGCCUGUUGAGUCAACCGAACACUUCAAAGGUCUUUGGAACAGGCCCUAUUAUAAGACAAAGUAGAACAGUGCCAGCAGGGCAGAUCGAGCAAUCCCCACACCUCGCAGCAGCCCUUCAUCUGAUCCUUCUGGGAGAAAAGAAAUCUAGAGUCUGAUGCUUCAUGCAGCAAUUGCCCUCCAGUGUCUCAGGGCUGCACCAAUAAUGAAUAAUUUACCAGUGUGGAGAAAGAAAAGUGUCACUACUGGAGUCUCAAGGCUCAUCACUCACAAACCUGUCACAUGGUCAAGAGUCAUCAGUGCCAUUAUUUGUGUGAAGAGAAAUUAGCACUAAUCUACUGCUGAGACUCUUGCUCCAGCCACUGUAAAUGGUGCCAGACUCUUAACAGAGCAGAUUGUCUGUGCCACUGCAAAUUGCCUAUCUCAGUAAAGUUAAAAAAAAAAAAGUCUUCUCACUUCACAGAGGACGUCCCACACAUGGUGAGAAUUAGAGGAGAGGCACUGUAAUGCAAAGGACUGUUACCUUUCCCACACUGGAGAAGUGCUAAAGAUUUGCCUCUCUGCUAUUAAUAAAGAACCACUGAAUCUGUAGAAGCAGGACUUUCAAAGGCAUACAUUUUUUUUUUGCAAAAAGGAAACAUGGCUUUCCAUGUCGUAGAACAGGCAUGUGAAUGCUAAGGCUUGAAUUUUAGGAAGGAAAGGAAAUGCCCUGUAUUGAACUAUGAAGCAUAAACAAGGCAUGAAAUAGAACAAAAUGGUGUCUUGAGUAAAUAAUCAGGGCAACAAUGAGAACUAUCGUACUGUGAGGGGCUUCCUCCUAUGAAGGAAAGGAAGAGAUGGGUAACAUGCUCGGUUUGUUCCAGCAGUCAUUUCCAUCCAUCGAUUCAGGGAUUUUAAAACCACUACCAUCAGCAGGUUUUUGGAACACCCACUACAUGAAAUCCACAGUAAAAGCAGAGCUGCCAGUGGCCUGGUUCAUCCCCACAGCAGAAGAACUGACAGCUGGGGCUCGGAGGCAGAAAAUCCCGUAGUCCCUCCUCGAGGCCUCGGUGGAUCCCAUCAAAGGGAGAGGUUUGCUCUCCACCAGGGGCCAGCCCCCACAUCUGGUGGAGUCCAAGCACAGCUUGUGACGGGAAAAAAGAAUAGUUUCCACCUCUAAAGGUUUGAAACGGAUUCAUUUUAUCUCUGCCUUUGUUCAAAAUAAUUUUCCAAUUUUAAUUGCUAGCAAAAUAAGCCUGUCUGAAAAGGGGAGUCACGAGUGAAAAAUGUAGUCCUUUGGAUCAUGGAGAUGCUGGCCUAAAAUCAGAAACAUGCCAUUAUAAAACAAAAUUUGGAAGAAGGAAGUUUUUUAUUUUGAUCAGAAAAGCACCUGAUUUGUUAAAAAGUCCUGCCUUUUCUCACUCCGAGAGGAUCUAUGGGGAGCCGGGUCUCUGGCCUGGCUCUGUGCCCGGCAGCCAGCCUUCAGCACUGCCCUCACACUUCUCCUUGGCAGCACAGCUCUGCCAAAACACACUCUGGGGGCACCCCCCAGCUACAGCAGCCAGUGUAAUCCCCAAAGUGGGAGGCUACAUGAGAAACAUAACGCAGCCUUGGGCUGUAUUAUGGUUUGCACCUAAGAUCCUCCAAGGACACUAUGUAUCCUUUCUGUCACAGAUUCACCUACUCUCAGCUCUUGAAGGCCACGCUGUCUCCACUUGAACCUGCAAGGAGACUUUGUUAGCUCUUAAGAAAAACAAAGAUAGAUGGUGUGGCUUGGAGAGAUGCCCCUGUCACAGCAAGAGGGCUGGUGUGUGGGAGGACUCCUUAGGGCUGGGAUCAGGAGGGAACCCAGAAGUAUCCAGUUCUUAUUGAAAUAUCGGAAUACAAACAUCAAUGCAAAACCUCAAAAAGCUGCUCAGGUAGCAAAAUAAGUCUGGGUUUUAAAGUCCAAAGAUGUUUGGGCUUUUUUUUUUUUUUUCCCCCAGGAUUUUUUUAAUUAGGAAAACAAAAACGACAGAAUUUCACACAUUCCUGUCACAUUUGCAAAUUGAUGAUGUUGUCUAAAAGCUGGAUUCGUGACUGAAUUCCCUGCAAGCCUUUCCAACACUCAUCCUCUCCACUAUUCCUCUUGUCUCAAUUUUGAUUCCGUUGCCUACCAAGAGUGAGAAAGAGUCAUUAUUAAAAAAACUUAGCAGAUGAGCAGUGCAGAAGACAUUUAGAUUCUUCUUCCCUCUCAAGCUCUUUCUACCGCUCAAAGUCAUCUACAGUUUCAGUUUAGUUGUGUGUCCCAAAUCAAUAAACGCCAUCUACACCUCGCUGUACUCGCUGCAUCCCCAGUGCCCAAGGCUGACUCCCUUCCCAAAGGACAAGGUUUCUAUUACUCACCACAUCCAUGCCAAGAGAAAUGACCUACUUUCCAAAAAACUAAGGCAUUGAAAAUGUGUUUUGGGACUGUGGGAGCAAGAAUCAGGGGAGCAGACUGACCCCUGGUUAAGUCCGGUUAAAAAAGGAAAGGGCAAUAGUUGUGAAAGAUCGGUUUGACCAGAGGUAUCUCCUGGUGGUGCUGGAGAUCAGCUCACCGUAUCCUGCUCUGCUCCUGUUCAUCUCUGCACAGCAAACUGCUGUUGCUGUUCCAACUCACUAGAGCAAAGAGUAGAAACCUUGAUUAAAGAGUUUGAAAGGAGUCUUCAGAAAGAAAGUGACUGUGGCUGAAGAUUUGAGAUAGACCGUAUUCAGACUUGGAUUUAAGUGUUAUGUUGCUCAGGAACCCCUGAUGCUUUCUAGCUCCCUGAACACAUCUGUUGCUGGAAACUGAACUGUGUUUACCCUGUUAAAAGUGACUUGUGUCACAAAGCAGCGAGGAGGAGCAGAGUGGCUGUGGAGGCUCCUGGGGGAGAUUUCCACCAUGUACUGCUCCCUGCAGCUUGCAAGACGAAGGAGAGGGCACUCUCAGCCCCAAGCCUGGACUCUCUACAAAGGCAGUCUUGGCAAAUCAUGGCCUCUUGAUUAACCACAGGGGGAUUGGUCUCCACCUUCCAUGGGGAGGGUGAGGAACUAAGCUGUAAAAGUGCCUUACAUCACUCCAUUGGCAAACAAGGGAUUUCUUCAUCUGGCAAGGCAGUAUGUUGAACCCAUGAAACCUGCUGAUUGUAGAAGAUCUGCUAGGCAGAUCUUGGCUUUCUCUGUGAUUUUCCAGUGUCUCCACCCUCAUGAUGGUAUCAUCUAGCUAGGUGAUGGCAUCCAUGACGUUACCUGGCUAGAUGAGAACCUCAUAGAUGACCGAAUAACAGGCAGACACCCACAAAAGGCAUUUUGGUUUUCUGCAGCUGCAUCCAUUCUGCCCAGCAUUUCAAUCUUUUUAGUCAUUCAUUUUGCCUUCAAGAAAUAAGUUUAUUAUGACCUUUGCUCAGACCAACUGGAACCAUGAAAACAUGAAAAUAUAUCAUAUUUGAUGAAGUCAGCUCACACUUCUCUGCAAGCCUUCCCCAGACUGAGUCACAGCAGGAGGGUUCAAAGUGAAUGCUUAAUAGCAUUGGCUUAAAGAUAUACUACUGCCAGUGGGAUAAUUUACCAGUAAUUAAGAAUGGAAUGAAUUUUUCUGAUUUGUUGGUGCUGCUUUGUCUGUCUUACAGUGAAAAUGAAGCAGGAUGCCCUUCCUGUAUCUCGGAGCAGUAACAAGCUUGAGAUGAUUUUCAUUUACAAUCGGAACUGCAUUAUUUGCUUUAGUUGUUUCUUAUCACAGACUUUACACCCUUGCACAGUGUCAGGUAUCAAAUGUUUAGAUUUAGAAUUUAAAAACAUAUAGGAAGAAUCUGGCCAUGUUUAACACUUUCAUGGCAUGCUGCCCUCUGUCAGAGGUGCAUCCCAAAGCCUUGUUCAGCAAUUGUGGAUGCUCCAAAGUGACCAUAAACCAAAUCAGAAUAUUAAUCUGCCUCAUAACAGUAAAACUCAGGUCACUCACUACAUGGAUCAUCUCCUCAAAAAGCUCUUAGGCUGAUAAACAUAAAGUCCAUUAGGAUCUCGAGAACAGAUGUCACACAUGCAUUGAAACUUAUGAAUACAUUACUCUCUUGCACCAAUGCAAGUCAUUAACGGUUGGAUAUCGUAUAUAUUGAUCUAUCAGUGUUUCAAUACACAGUCUGUUUCUUAGAUUGGCUGCUCUCACAAGCAGAAAGCACUUCUGAAGCAGGUGACGUUCAUUUCUACCUCUGCAACACGGACGGCUCAGAACACCUUGCCAUAAAUUCCCUGCACUGCCUUGAUUCUGAGCAGGGCGCUGGUAGUAGACAUCUGCAAAAACAGCUCCUGCUGAAGGUCCACUCUGAAACUGUUGCAGCACUCAUGAGUGGUCAGUAUCUCUCAGUGACUUCAUGAGCUUCUCUGAAAAAAAAUUCUGCUUCACCCCAAAGAACCUCUGAUUGAUGCAGUCUGUAGCAUUUGUCUUUUGUCAACUCAUGCUUGCCUUAUGAUGCUGUAAUAAAUCACAAAUGCUAUGAUACGCUA